CUAGCGGCGGUUCUUAGGGAGAGUCGGUCAACGACCUGUGGGUGGGUGGGCUGGGGAGGAAUCGACGAAGGCCUGACUGGAGGAACCAGAGGCCCUCAAGACCCACCCGACUCCCUUCCUCUCCACGUGGACAGAGCUCACCGCUGGCCGGAGAGUGACCAGCUUCCUAGGGCUGCCUGCAGGAAUAGAGUAUUCCGUGCGCAAUCCCUGUAUUUAAACUUUCUCCUGACUCAAGCCCAAAGUCUAUGACCAUAGUGACAGAAAGAAGUCAGGCCAUCCUUUUAGAUGAGUAGGAUAUAUCCGUGUAAUUGAGAUACUCAUCUAGCUGUGGUCUGUUCUACAACACAGUUAAAAGCUCCAGAAGAACUUCUGCCUCUUUGUAUCACUUAAAUUGAAUAAAGCCUUUCUAGGCAAAUAAGAGGUACCAAUAAAAUCUUGUUGAAUUGAA